AUUGUGGUUUGGGGGUCAGCACCCACCAGUGCCAGGGCACUACUGGGAGGCUGGGACCUGACCAAAGCCCAUGGUGUCUGUGGCCUGAGGACAGGGUGUCUUGGGGCCAUGAGGACAGGCCACCAAUGGCCGUUGGGUCAUAGGGCCUGAGCCCCAGUGUUUGUCCUUCCCUGGCUCCUUCUGGUUCAGUCCCAUCAGGGCUCUGGAUCCCAAGACGCAGCAUCCAAGGUUCCCUCCAGGAAUCCUGGUGGCUCGGCUUACUUUGUCAUGUUUCAUCUGAUAGCAAAAAUAUCAGAUCGGCUGCACAGAAAAAUGGCUCAAAGUGCUUAAUGACCAGAAGAAAUCUGGGAGUAGCAAGAAGGUAAUGUGGAGAGGGGAGGACCUCCAUGACUGGUGUCUGCAGAGCCAGGGGUACAGGGACCCAGUGCAGUGACCUGGCACCACCUGCCUCUCAGAGGAGGUCUCAGGUGCUCUACAAGGGAGUCCCAUUUCAGGUGUGGGGCUGGGUAUGGUCACUCCUGCUGGAUGUCUAGAAGGUGAAAACCAAGGACCUAGGAAAAUACCAGAUACAGCCUUUCCACCGUCAUCCAGAGCAGGACAAACACGCCAGGUGGUGUCAGGAGCCCAGGUCUCCAGCUGGAGGGAAUGUCAACCCUGCAGUGGGAGCCCAUCAUGCAUCCUAGGCACAGAUGCUAACGUAGGCACCGCA
rnacentral:lncRNA from 1 species